rnacentral:rRNA from 1 species
UACGUAGGAGGCGAGCGUUGUCCGGAAUCACUGGGUGUAAAGCGCGUGUAGGCGGCCUGCCAAGUCUGCUGUGAAAGCGCCGGGCUUAACCGGGCGAGGUCGGUGGAAACUGGCGGGCUGGAGGACGGUAGAGGGGGGUGGAAUUCCCGGUGUAGUGGUGAAAUGCGUAGAGAUCGGGAGGAACACCAGUGGCGAAGGCGGCCCCCUGGGCAGUUCCUGACGCUGAGACGCGAAGGCGAGGGGAGCGAACGGG